GGUUGAAGUAAAAACGACAAAGUUGCACACAAACAUAUGUAACAGAUGAAAAUUUGGGUUGGAUUUCAUUUUUUCUUCACACUUUCAGUAAAGGGUCGAGAUUAGUUGACACAUGUCAAUGUGAAUGAAACUCUUCUUGCCCAGAUUUGACCAUUUUCAUUUCUCAGUAAUGGAGUGAGCAAUUUGGGGGUUACACGGUUUUUGGCCAUUUUGGGUUGGUGACACAAGGACUAGUACCAUUUAUGUUUGUUAGAUAAGAAUUUUUUUCUUUUUCUUAAAUUAUUAAUUUUGAGAUUGCUAGACAGGGUGGGUUGUAGUCUUUGGGGGUAGAAAAUAUAAAGGAGAGAAAAAAGGUAAAGUUAGCGAUAGAAAGCCAUACAAUUGUGAUAAAAAUGGCAAAAAAAUUACCUAAAUCUCUCUCAUUUGGUACUUCCACUGUAUUCCUACAGAAGAGGGAACUUUUCCAUGAUUUGGGCCCUGUGUUGUGGAACUCAUUUGGUACACCCACUGUAUUCCUACAGG